rnacentral:lncRNA from 1 species
GAAUGAGCAAAUGAAAUGCAUCAGUGAAUCAAUGAGCGCGUGUAGAGAAAGUAGCCCAAGAUCUAGGGUUCCUAAAUGGUAGCUUUUGCUCUGCUUUUUUCCAGCUGUUGGACCUUAAGCAAAUCACUUUCCUGAUCCAAGCCUCAGUUUCCCUAUCUGUAAAAUGGAAGCGUACCAGGAGUCCUUCCAGCCUGAAAAUUGAGGACUUUUCUGCUUCAUCCAGACAGCCCAGGGUGACUUUGAUGCCACUGGUUUGUCUCCUGGGCCCUCCGGGACCCAGUUGAAUGCUUCUUUUUCCUUCAAUGUUGUUUGCAAUGUGUUUUCUGGGCCACUUCUUAUCUAGCAUUUUUGCUUUCCUCCACGUGUUAGAAUUAACCAGUGGAGUAGAAUUCCUUCAAAUCUGCUUAUGUGUCAGCAUCAACAUGGUUGAUGGUCAAAUGCAGAGUCCUGGGCCCUACAUCAAUAAAAGGUCUUACUAGGUCUUACGUCAGAAUCUCAGGGAAGGAGGGUCCAGGCACCUGCAUUUCGGAAGCUCCUCUCGGGAUGCCGAGGCUGCUAACAUUGGGAACCCCGGCAACUGUGAUGCAGUGCACAGGCUCUGGGCUCAGGUUGGCACAUCUCACUUGCUGAGAGGAUUUGGGGAAUUAUCUACUCUCUCGGAUCCGUGCUUCUCUCCAUUGUAAAAGCCCUCGUGAGCCAGAUGCGGUGGCUCACGCCUGCAAUCCCAACACUUUAGGAGGCCAAGGAGGGCAGAUCACCUGAGGUCAGCAGUUCGAGACCAGCCUGGUCAACAUGGUGAAACCCCAUCUCUACUAAAAAUAAAAAAGUAGCCUGGUGCCUGUAAUCCCAGCUACUCGGGAGGCUGAGGCAGGAGAAUUGUUUGAACCCGGGAGGCGGAGGUUGCAGUGAGUCAAGGUCGCACCGCUACACUCCAGCCUGGGUGACAGAGUGAGACUCCAUCUCAAAAAACAAUAAAUAAAUAAAUAAAUAAAUAAAGCCUCUGGUCAGAUGAGGCUUAAACGAGACACAAAUUCAGGCUAUCAUGACCAGUCCUGUGGCAGGCUUGAACCCUGCCCCCCAGCUCAGGAGUCUGCAAGAAAUCACAGCUGUUUAUUUUCUGUAAAUCAAUGUAAUUUCUUUCUCCAGCCCCCAUUCCGUUGGGCUAGAGGAAAACAUAAUAUAAGGCAGAUAUUGAGAAAGCUCAGUCCCCACCUGUACCCCCAGGGUGGUGCCAUAGCCAGGGUCUUAGUUUUAAAAUAUCAGAAAGCCAGGGAUCUUUGUCAAUUCUCUGCAUGGCUUGUACCCACCCCCGAAUGGUGACGGUAGAGCUGGCAACCUGCUUGAAUGAGAUGGGGAGAGAAAAAAAGAUGCAACCCGGCAGAAAACAGAAACGCGCACAUACCGACCAACAAUUUCCAUUCAAAAUAUCAUCCAAACCCAGUCCCUCUACUCUCCCAUCUCACAUUGUUGAAUUCGACCUUUCCUUAUUGGGUGGGUACCAUUAAAGGAUCAUUUUUAAAUAAAGGCAAAAUCACGACUCUCGUGCAAUUACAGAAUGAACACCCAUCAGAGAUUUUAUUUAAAGCAUUAAUUAAUGACAGAACAAGGAAAAUGGCACAACUGGUUCAAAGGAGAAUUUAAGCACCACACAUAGACAUGCAGGCAAACACAAAUGCUGGCAUUCAUUUACAAGUAGAUACGAAAUCGGUCAAUAACUUGAGGAUAAUAAUCAAUUGCAUUCCACUGGACACAAUUCAUUUGCAUUUCUAUGGCACCAAGCAUUUGUAUUACUAUUGGUUUUUUUCUUAAGCUUCGAGAGUUAGGAAAUAGCUCAAAGAUGAUGAAAGGCAUAGAUAUCCUGGAGAGUUAUGCUAGACAGAACAUUCAGCAAUCUUUAUAGAUUUUUUGGCCCAUAUCAACAUCUUUUAUAAUUUUUUCUGACAGUACAGUGCAGCCACCACCAUCCCAGAGAAGAAGUGAGGGGCUAUGUUGUGUUUCCUGGACCUCUGUUUCUUAAUCUGCAAAAUGGGCAUGAUAAGAGCCUUUGACAAUCCAGAGACAUGAGGUCCUGCUGGGACAAGUACCGUGGGAAACGUGAAGUGCUAAGGGACAGUGUCCCAAACCUCAGUGUGGCCCUCCUUCCUGAUUUAGUUCACAUCCUUGUUCUACCUUGGAAGAUUUAUUUUUUUUCCUUUAUACCAACUUUGAUUUGAUAAUACCCUUGAAAUCAGAGAAUGAGGUGCUGAUUCUGUAUGUUUUUUUUUUCUAAUACAUAUGAAUAUAGACAAAAAGCCAUUGAGAUAAGAAAGGUAAGUUCAUUCUUGUACCAACUAAUCCAGUGCUCUGUGGGAAGUACAGGAUUAGGAAGAAAUUAAAUGAUAGCCUACAAACACACACACACACACACACACACACACACACACACUCCACUAACCACCACCACCACCACCGCCGCCACCACCAAUGUAUUCUGCAAAUUCAUAUACAAUUUGCAAACCUCCUCCUGAAAUAAGAGAGAGAGGGCAAUUGAAACUAUCUAAGGCAGCACUUGGAACACGCAGGCCAAAGACUGAGCCAGGGAGGGAUUGUUAUCACAUGGGCUGUGGGGAGGCAGAGCUCCCCUGUGUCCCCGAGAGCACCCCUCCCCGGGGCCCCACCAGCCCCCAACUCGCCUCUCGAAUUCCCACCUCUCCCCUUGCUCUGCGCCUUUGGAAACCCAGACAGCGGCCCCACUCCCGUGAUUCAUCCAGCAGGAAUGUGGGAGUUCUCGAAUUGCUCCAGCUAAAGCCUUUUAAUUCCCCUUCGGUGAUGAAUGGGUGAGGCCCUCAAAUGAAAUGUGGAGGCUCCCAGUCCCAGCCCGCGGCCCUCCCCCUCCUCGGCGUAAUUAUUUCUGUGCAGAACAUGUCAAGUGCCCUGCUUCCCGGGAACUUGUUUCGCAUGCAAACAUUUGGUGAUUAAGCGAGGCUUACUUAAUUAAGCACUUUGUAAUGACUCUUAAACCAAAGAACAGUGGAUUAGGAGUCCAGUUCGUGCUGGUGAUGGGAAAGGCAGCUUCAUAUCACAAGGAGGCAGACAGUGAUCUGGUGUGGGGAGGCGGCCGGGCCAAGCGGGGCAGAGUAGGCGCUCUGGGAACUCUGCUAGAAUCACUCAUUCAUUCAUUCAAUCAAUUUAUUUUUGGAGCACUUCUUGGAGCCAGAGUAGCUGGUGAACAAUAAUAAUAAUAAUAAUAGGGCCAGGCACUGUGCUAAUAAGUCUGCUGAAUAACAAGAGUGAGGAGGAGCCAGAGAUAGUUAUUGAGAGCUGACUCUACUAGGCAUGAACUGCUAGUAGUAGUGACGGCAAUAAUAAGCAUUUUCAUUGCAGCAGCAAAUCCUUGAAUAGGAUUUUGCUGUGGCCCUGCGUGCCCUGAAACUGCUGGGUUUCUGCCAUGGACUUGGCCUUUGGAAACAGCCCCCAUCUUUGUUGCUGUCUUACUGACUCACUGGCUUCUCACCCACCAGUGGCUCACUUCCCACAUCUGUGUAAUGGGUAGUUGGAUCUAGAUCUUCUCUAAGAUGCUUUUGGGUCUUAGGAGCCUAGGGUGUCUCCUCUGCUUCUGGGGGCCACAGGAAUGGUGGCGCCACUUUGGGGGCCUCAGCUGCAAUAUUGCAGAAGGCUUCAGAGCCCAGCCCUACACAGCUCCAGGACAGAGCAAGGGUGACUCUCAGCUCAGACCUUCAUAAAUUGUGGGACCUUCACCAGGUAGCUUGUCCUCUCUGACGGACAAGUCCUUCACCUCUCAAUUGAAAUAACCCUUCCAUCUGCUUCCAGGGCUCCUGUAAGGGAAUCACACAGACUCAUGGACAUAGAUGCCCUUUGAAAACCAUCUACCUGGUGGCAGAAGCCAUCAUGUCUCAAACUUGGACCCACGAACACACCCCAAUGUAUUCACUUGUCUACUUGCUUUGGUUUUCUCAUUUCUACCAUAACCCGGAAAAGGGUUCUAAUUGCCUUCUAACCUGGGAGAUCAUCUUAGAACAAAGGGCUUCCAUGUGACUUCAGUGCCUGAGUUGAUAUUUGCUUUCGCAGUUGUGAGAUUAUUGAGUAAAAUCCAAAGGAUCUCACAGCGUGGUUCCAAUGAAGAUUCUGCUGGUGUUCUAAGAGUAGUAUGUGAUGGAAGAGCUGCCUCAUCACGUAGCAGAUGAAAGCACAGUGGCCUCCGCAAGGUCCAGCCCACUGCAUCAGUGCCAGACUCACACGUGAGUGGACACUAGACUCCAGCCCUUCACAGGCCAAUGGGCAAUCACUCACUGGCAAUGAGGGAGGCAGGCAAUAUGCAGUGAAAACCUUUCUCUCUUUCUGAUGCCUUCAGUAAUUGUAAUAGAUGCUCAUUUAAUGGUGAUUUCAAAAAUCUGGCUUAUGCAAAGCAGACUACCUUCUUGUGUACUCAUGUGAUGCCUCGUUAAGUUCAGUAGAUUAAGUGAAAUCUGAUUUAACUGAGGUCUGAUUAUCCAGAGCUAACAGGCUAAAGUUUCCCAUUCCACAUACCGUUUUGACCAAUACCCCAUUUCAAAAGGCAUUCUUUGCUUGGAAUUAUACAAGUUAGAAAACAAAAAUAGAGUGUGGCAGCCACUGGUACUCUCCUAUCCCAAGUCCAUUCUUCCCUUUCUCCAUAGCGACAGGCCCCUUAUUUUAUCUGAGGUGCUAAUACGCUGAGCUAAAAUAUUUUAUUCUCUGUCUCCCUUAGAUAUAGAGUUGCCAAUGCGGCACAAGCAAAGGUUGUUAGGUGGGAUUUAUGAGCAGACUUUUCAAAAGAGAUGGGUGUACUUGGGGGGCAUGAUUCCCUCCUUCUAUUUUCUUCUUGCAGGGAGUACAGAUGCAAUAGCUGGAGCCACAGAAGCCAUAUUGUGACCAUCAGGCACCUUGAACUUGCUGGCCUCGUGCUAAGGCUCUUAGCGCAGAAGAGUCCGGAUAUUUCCUGAUUACUCUGACACAAGAGAAAAAUAAAACCUCAAUUCACUUAAA